rnacentral:rRNA from 1 species
UACGUAGGGUCCGAGCGUUGUCCGGAUUUAUUGGGCGUAAAGAGCUCGUAGGCGGUUCCGUAAGUCAGAUGUGAAAACUCAGGGCUCAACCCGGAGACGCCAUCUGAUACUGCGGUGACUGGAGUCUGGUAGGGGAACACGGAAUUCCUGGUGUAGCGGUGAAAUGCGCAGAUAUCAGGAGGAACACCGAUGGCGAAGGCGGAUCUCUGGGCCAUUACUGACGCUGAGGAGCGAAAGCGUGGGGAGCGAACAGG